rnacentral:rRNA from 1 species
CCUACGGGAGGCAGCAGUGAGGAAUAUUGGUCAAUGGACGAGAGUCUGAACCAGCCAAGUAGCGUGAAGGAUGACUGCCCUAUGGGUUGUAAACUUCUUUUAUAUGGGAAUAAAACGUUCCACGUGUGGGAUUUUGUAUGUACCAUAUGAAUAAGGAUCGGCUAACUCCGUGCCAGCAGCCGCGGUAAUACGGAGGAUCCGAGCGUUAUCCGGAUUUAUUGGGUUUAAAGGGAGCGUAGGUGGAUUGUUAAGUCAGUUGUGAAAGUUGGCGGCUCAACCGUAAAAUUGCAGUUGAAACUGGCAGUCUUGAGUACAGUAGAGGUGGGCGGAAUUCGUGGUGUAGCGGUGAAAUGCUUAGAUAUCACGAAGAACUCCGAUUGCGAAGGCAGUUCACUGGACUGCAACUGACACUGAGGCUCGAAAGUGUGGGUAUCAAACAGGAUUAGAUACCCGAGUAGUC